GCCAGUAUGGUGUAGUGGUUUGAAUGCUGGACUAUGACUCUGGACACCAGGGUUCGAUUCCCAGCUUGGCCA